CUCGUGGUGACAGGCAGUGACGGCCCGGCGGAAACAAGGGUUUGAAAGGAAUCGAGAAAAAGAGUGUCACAAAGGAAGUGGAGACUGCCUCGAGUUCUGAUGGAGGGGACGUGCUUGUGGCAGGUCAUCUCAGGUCGUCUGGUUAUUAAGGUGGUCAGUACUGUCUUGCUGGCCCCACCCCCCCCGCCCCUGGACCCUCGGGAUCUCCAGCACCGCCAUGAACGCCCCAGGGGAGCCGAGGCGCUCUGCUGGGACUCCUGGGCCCUGCGACGCUCGCCAGGGAGACCUUGGGCCCCCUGACGCUCCCCAGCCCUGCCGAGGCGAGGAGGGUUGGAGCAAGACUUGUCUCUUAAAACCACCAGACGGGAAUAUUAAGUUAAUCGAAAAUACCGUGAAGGCGCCGACCACGGAGUUUGUCGGAUCCGGGAUGGCAGAACGAAGGGUCGAAGGAACGUGACAGAUCAGCCUAAGAAACAAACAAAAACAACUCCAGAAAAGGAAUAAUACAGAAACAGAAUAAAUAUCGGCAACAUUCGUUUCCCUCUUUCCU